AGUGAACGCUGGCGGUAGGCCUAACACAUGCAAGUCGAACGGCAGCACAGUAAGUGCUUGCUCUUACGGGUGGCGAGUGGCGGACGGGUGAGGAAUACAUCGGAAUCUACUUUUUCGUGGGGGUUAACGUAGGGAAACUUACGCUAAUACCGCAUACUCCCUACGGUUUAAUUCAGUGGAUCUUCUGACCUUGCUCGUUUGAUUUAGCCUAUGUCGGAUUUGCUAGUUGGCGGGGGAAAGGCCCACCAAGGCGACGAUCCGUAGCUGGUCUGAGAGGAUGAUCAGCCACACGGGAAGUGAGACAGGGAACAGACGCCUACGGGAGGCAGCAGUGGGGAAUAUUGGACAAAGGGCGCAAGCAGGAUACAGCCAUACCGCGUGGGUGAAGAAGGACUUCGGGUUGUAAAGCCCUUUUGUUGGGAAAGAAAAGAAGCAGGUUAAUAACACGAUGUUCUGACGGUACCAAAAGAAUAAGCACCGGCUAACUUCGUG
rnacentral:rRNA from 1 species